AAGAUUGGUGAUCUAUCCAUGACCAAAAUGAAGCUUAGGUGAAACUAAGUGGAAGUCCGAACUGACUGAUGUUGAAGAAUCAACGAAUGAAUUGUGGUUAGGGGUGAAAUGCCACUCGAACCCAGAGCUAG
rnacentral:ncRNA from 1 species